rnacentral:sRNA from 1 species
AUUUAUAUUAUAAACCAUUGUACAGAUAUAGAACACUGUACAAAUAUAGAGCACAAUACAGAUAUAGACCACUGUAUAGUUAUAAAGCAUUGUACAUAUGCAUUUUAUCAUUUAAUAUGCAUUUUUAUAUAUUCGCACAGUUGUCUACAUCUUCUGUACAACCUCAAGAGUAUCUUGUAAACGAGAUCAUUCGGAAUCGAAUUCAUUAUUACCAGUAUGUGAAAACUCCUAGGGGAGGUGGAUUUUUAAAUUAAACCUAGUCAAGCCCAAUAAGCAUACUGGGCUUUUUACCAUCAAAAUUUAUAUUAACUUUUUACUUUUUUUUCC